CCCACACCGCCACGGAGCCCGGGCCGAAGACAAGGCGCUCGAUCUGGAACCUCCAGAUCUCCUGCAUCUCCCCCUUUGCCGCGUCCGACGCCGGCUGCUGGAAGGUGUCUAAUGUGUCCAUGCCACUGAAUGGGUUGCCAUCCUUCUCAAAAUCAUCGGAGAGACCAGAGGCGGCAGCCAUGGCAGUCCCAGACAUGUUCCUCUCAUCCCCCGAGCCCUGCCUGGUGCCCUGAGCGCCAACAGCAGCGCUAUCACGGACGCCAGAGAGCAGCAGCGGCAGCAGUCGCGGAAGGCUGGGUGGUGCUGGUUGAGGUCAAGAGCCACCAGGUUACACACGCGACGGACGAACAUCUAACAGUGAUUGGCAGCACCACUCUGCCGGCGUGUGGCUAGAGCAGUAUAGCACGUCGCAGAACAACACGUCGCAAUCCGGCUCGCCCCAGGGAGCCCUGCAGCUCACCAUGUCGAGCCAGGCGCGGCAGUACCGUGUUUGCUCCUCGCUGGCUACGAGAAAUUGAACAAAACAUGAAAUUGUAAAGUACUAUGAUGAACUGUUCGAAUUUACUGUGUUUAUAGAAAAGUAGAAGUGUAGUUUUGUACGCUGAGAAUUAUU